rnacentral:rRNA from 1 species
GUAGGUGGGCAAGCGUUGUCCGGAAUUAUUGGGCGUAAAGCGCGCGCAGGGCGGUCCUUUAAGUCUGAUGUGAAAGCCCACGGCUCAACCGUGGAGGGUCAUUGGAAACUGGGGGACUUGAGAACAGAAGAGGAAAGCGGAAUUCCAAGUGUAGCGGUGAAAUGCGUAGAGAUUUGGAGGAACACCAGUGGCGAAGGCGGCUUUCUGGUCUGUAACUGACGCUGAGGCGCGAAAGCGUGGGGAGCAAACAGGAUUAGAUACCCUGGUAGUCCACGCCGUAAACGAUGAGUGCUAAGUGUUAGGGGGUUUCCGCCCCUUAGUGCUGCAGCUAACGCAUUAAGCACUCCGCCUGGGGAGUACGGCCGCAAGGCUG